GUAGGUGGCAAGCGUUGUCCGGAAUUAUUGGGCGUAAAGCGCGCGCAGGCGGUUCUUUAAGUCUGAUGUGAAAGCCCACGGCUCAACCGUGGAGGGUCAUUGGAAACUGGAGAACUUGAGUACAGAAGAGGAAAGCGGAAUUCCACGUGUAGCGGUGAAAUGCGUAGAGAUGUGGAGGAACACCAGUGGCGAAGGCGGCUUUCUGGUCUGUAACUGACGCUGAGGCGCGAAAGCGUGGGGAGCAAACAGGGAUUAGAUACCCUGGUAGUCCACGCCGUAACCGAUGAGUGCUAAGUGUUAGGGGGUUUCCGCCCCCUUAGUGCUGCAGCUAACGCAUUAAGCACUCCGCCUGGGGAUACGACCGCAAGGUUG
rnacentral:rRNA from 1 species